AAACUUUCUCCUAAGUAACAAAAGAUGAAAAAAAAUUUCCAAGUGUGGAUUAUAAGGUAGAAUUCAGCCAAGGCAUGUAUAUGGGCUUGCUUGGGUCGAAUUUUACAACUGAUCCACUUAUUAGACUUGAAACGGGCUGAAAAAUAAAGUGUAUUUCAAAUGGGCCACUUUCACAAUGUUUGGCCAAAUUUUCAACUAAAUGCUUAUUAGAACUUUAAUACGGGCUUGAGGAUGUCCCAUAGGCUAGUCUUCAAGAAUUAGAAUGCUUGAUCCGUUAGUUGCAAGAUUGGGCUCGUUUAAGCUUGUCAGUGUGAUCCAUUUUGUUCCAACUCCAAUAUUUGUUUCUUGGAUCGAGAAUUUCAAGAUUUGGAAUCUUGAUUUUCGUGAACUCUCAAAUCUUCAUAUAUGACAUAAUUGAGCCAAAAUUUGGUUUCUUGAUUUCCUUGAAAGCAAGAAAGUGAGUCUUGAUCUUCUUUCUCCCUUGCAUAAGCUUGUAAGGCCUUCGUCAUGAACUCUUGUAGAACCACGUUCAAUAUCAACUUGAGUUGUUUGGCUUUCGACCUUAUAAUAAGGCAUUGAGUUAGAGUUAUCCCAUCACGUCCAUGCUCACUUGAUUGUGCCUUGAUGGUUGUAGACUAACCCUAGUUUUCUAAGCUUAUUAAGGGCUAUGACUUAAAUAACAAAAUGAAAUCGGUUAUGAUAUAUUGAAUGUUAUAUGCUAAUAUCUCAUAUAAAUUGAGUAAGAAGAACUUUUAUCUAGUGACAUGAUGUUAUUUUAAUGCCAAAUACUUGUUAUUAAAUGUAUUUUAAUGCCAAAAUUUUCUUACGAUACGCUUGUUAAAAUGCUUGACUUUACAUGUUGGCAAAUUCAUGGAUGAACAAGGUAAGCAUAAUGAAUUUUCAUUUGAAUUUAUUGAUCUUUAUAUUUAUGCACUAUUUUCCUUGCGUGUAGGUUUUGUGUGAUGUUUUUGAGGCUUCACUCAUCCCUUGGGACAUCACACCCCUAGAAAAGUAAGAAACUAAUUUAAAUAUAAUUCAUAACUCUAGUGGCAUGUAUUAGGGAGUCAGGGUCUUUUUGUAUGUAAGUUAGUUUCAUUGCUACUUGCAAGUCUUGUAUUGAAGUGUAAUUAUUUUGGCAUGGUCCCUUGAGCAUAUGGUGUUGGCCAUAAGGUUUAAUUAGUGGCCUUAUCUUGAAUAAGUUUACCUAUUUUUGUUUCAUGUUUUUAUCUUGUAAUGUGAUUUGCUAUAAUCAUAUGCUAGUAUAUUUUAGAUGAUGACGUGUGAGGAUGAGUCAUGAUUUUUAAGUGAUUUCUUAAGUAGAAUACUUUAUUAGGAGGUGUUUUGGUGUAAUUUUGAUGAACGUUUUCGGUCCCCCUAAAGAAAGGUUUUGAAAUCGUGCUUACCAAAUUAAAUAGAAAAAAAAAAACAGGUUAAUUAUUCUUUUUUUUUAAAGUUUGAGGUUAAAUUUAUAUCUUCUAAAUGAAUACUCUUUUUUUCUCUCUUUUUUUUACGGAAGUCCGUAUUAUUCUAAAUAAAAUGUCACUCAUGUUGUGGGUGAAUAUAGAAAAUAAAUAUCAAUACCUAUAAUCAAAUUCGCAUUCAAAAUAUAUCUCUCAACUAUUUAUCCAUUUUGAGCUUGAUUUCAUAAUUUUUUUAAUUUUAUCUGCUAAAUUUAAAAAAUUAUAAAAAUAUUGAAAAACAUAAAUAUCCUUGCAAUAAAAUUUGUUACUUUUAAAAUAAAAAUACUUUUUAAAUCUAACUCAUUUAAUCUCCAGUUAACUCCCCAACUCAAUUAGAGUAAAAUAUAUUAUAGAUGAAAAAUACACAAAUUACCUAAAUUAUUAAUUCGCAGCUGGUGAU
rnacentral:lncRNA from 1 species